GGCCGGUUAGCUCAGUUGAGCGUGGUGCUAACAACGCCAAGGUCGUGGGUUCGAUUCCCGUUCGGUCC
rnacentral:tRNA from 1 species